AGAGUGAACGCUGGCGGUAGGCCUAACACAUGCAAGUCGAACGGCAGCACAGUAGGAGCUUGCUCUUACGGGUGGCGAGUGGCGGACGGGUGAGGAAUACAUCGGAAUCUACCUUUUGGUGGGGGAUAACGUAGGGAAACUUACGCUAAUACCGCAUACGCCCUUCGGGGGAAAGCCGGGGACCAGCAAUGGCCUGGCGCUGAUAGAUGAGCCGAUGUCGGAUUAGCUAGUUGGUGAGGUAAUGGCUCACCAAGGCGACGAUCCGUAGCUGGUCUGAGAGAACGACCAGCCACACUGGGACUGAGACACGGCCCAGACUCCUACGGGAGGCAGCAGUGGGAAUUUGGACAAUGGGCGAAAGCCUGAUCCAGCAAUGCGCGUGCAGGAAGAAGCCUCGGUGUAACUGUCUUUGACGAGACGAAAGUCU
rnacentral:rRNA from 1 species